UGGGAUAUGGCUCAGUGGUACAGUAGUUGCCUAGCAUGUGCAAAAGCCUGGGUACAAUCCUCAGUACUUGGG
rnacentral:tRNA from 1 species